CGGUGUGUGAUGUCUGUCUGAUGAAACCGCUUUCGUUUCUAUUUUGAAGAGUUGAGUGAUGUCUUGCUAGUUGCUACUCUUCCUUCUUUCUUCAUUCUCUUCUCCAAACAUUCACAUAUUAACGUUUGAUACCUCUGAUUUGAAACUUCACCCAUUUUCCUAAACCCUCAAUUAAGCCACCAAUUAGGAGAGGCAGUUUUCUCACAUCAGAGAGAAAUCUUUGUACCAGUGGUGCAUCCGUUCCAAGAUGGGCGUAGUGAGGGGGGUGAUAUUGGAUGAAUCAGUACUCUUGGCUGAAAAUGAUAAUGAUAAAACUGUAUCUUUACUGAGGCCAGGAGUGGAGUUUCUCAUCCGAACACUCUUCCUUUCCAGAACCCAUUGUGGAAUUGCUUAUGGUGUGGGCCUUCCAGAAGACAAGGUUAGUAUUCUUAAAAGAACUGCUGAUUUGUACUCACUAGAUUGCUUUACCGUAAAUGAGGUUAUGCCUGGAUGGAGUAAUACUAAUGAUGGCAGUAUUGUUUAUCUGGUUUCUAAUAAGGAGUUCUUACCUAAAUUAAGCAGCUAUAAUUGGCUUAUUGUUGUUCUGAAUGUUGGAGGUGAAAGUUUAUGUCACAAUCCAAAUAUGCUUCAGAUAGAAAACUUAGAAGAGUUGCCACUGACCAUAUGUCAGUUAAAUAAAAGAACAAAUGGAACCAAUGCUGUGACUGUGGGUUAUAUAAUGAAGCCUUCCCGCGUGGAAGAUUUUGCAAAGAGAGGUGCAUUUCCUUUGUGUCCUACACAAAAUGGAUUGAUGUUCAUGCCUCUCACGUCCAAGCUGCCUUUAUCAUCUCAAUUAAAGGAUGUUGACAUAGUUCUCCACAAAGCCACCGAUGAAAUAUUAUCUAUUGAAGAUAAUAAACUUACUUUUACUCAGAACAUGCAAGCAUUGCAAAGAUAUUUGGAUCAACACCAGGAUUUGUGUGUGGUUGAUCCACUGAGUAAUAUUUAUCCAUUAUUGGAUAGGCUAGAAAUUCAACAAGUUCUACUUGGCUUGGUAGAACUAAACACUGAAGGCAGAUAUUUGAUCAGAGGGGCCCAUUUUCUUAAGGUUGAUAGCUUUGAUGGUUUUGAUUUUGCAACUGGAAUAUCAGAAGCUAGAUUGUCUCUUCCAUGUAUAGUGAAACCGAAAGUUGCUUGUGGUGUCAGUGAUGCACAUAAGAUGGCAAUUGUUUUCAGAGUUGAAGAUUUUAAGAGUUUAAAUGUUCCUCUUCCAGCUGUUAUUCAGGAAUAUGUGGAUCAUUCAUCCACUUUGUACAAAUUUUAUGUCUUGGGUGAAAAGAUUUUCUAUGCUGUCAAGAAGUCAAUACCAAAUGCUAAUAUUUUGAUAAAAUUAUCCAACGGAGAUGAGCUUAAACCUCUACUGUUUGAUAGCUUAAAAUCUUUGCCAACCGCUGACAGCAUCAAGGGUUCUGGUGCUAGUGACCAUGGUAUCACAAGGAAUGAGUCUAUUGACCUUAAGCUGGUUACAGAUGCUGCAAAUUGGCUAAGGAGAAAGCUUCAUCUUACCAUCUUCGGUUUUGAUGUUGUAAUUCAGGAAGGUACUCAUGACCAUGUAAUUGUGGAUGUAAACUAUCUCCCAUCAUUUAAGGAAGUACCUGAUGACAUCUCUAUCCCUGCCUUCUGGGAGGCCAUUAGAAAUAAGUUUGACUGUAGAAUUUCUAAAUAAGCAUUUGUUUGAACUUUGUGGUGGUUUGACAAGGAAUAAUGCCAAUGAUUGCAUCAGAUCAUGGAUCAGGCACUCGAUCAUAUCAAGCCAAAAAUGAGAUUGAACAACUCAUUAUUGCAUACUUGAGGUGCCACAACUAGUAAACGAGGAAUAAUUAUAUCUAGUGUUCAAGCUACAUUUCGUUGCUGACACACCGACAAUGUUGACGUUUUCAGUUUUCACAUAGUUGCUGCUACUCAUGCAUUGUGGCAGACAAGGACGCAAAAGGGGUUGCCAAGUGUUAAAAUCAAAAGCUUUCUAGAGUAGAACACUAACAGAACUUCAAGGUAGAAUUGACAAAAUAUAAAACACUUGUUUUAAAAUGUAUUGUACGAAGUGUCGUAUUUUAAAUUAGCGUGUAUGUACACUUAUUUUUAACGAAAUUAUUUACCUAUAAUCAUUUCUAGAAAUAGAAUGGUUAAAAGGUAUUUUACUUUUAAUAAAGGUAAUUAUUCAAAAAAUAGGUAGAAAUAAUUAUAAUAAUUGUCAAUAUAUGCUCUAUUGCAGUUAUUCAUUUGUUAAAAGAAAUUAUUUGAAAAAGGUAAUUU